AGCAGCCGCGGUAAUUCCAGCUCCAAUAGCGUAUAUUAAAGUUGUUGCAGUUAAAAAGCUCGUAGUUGAAUUUCGGGAUCAAUAUGUUGGUCGUGCCUUGGUACGUACUGGCAUUAUUGGUUUCUACCUUCUGAAGAACCUCGAUGUCAUUAAUUUGGUGUCUUGGGGAAUCAGGACUGUUACUUUGAAAAAAUUAGAGUGUUUAAAGCAGGCUCGCGCUUGAAUACAUUAGCAUGGAAUAAUGAAAUAGGACGUUUGAUUCUAUUUUGUUGGUUUCUAGGAUUGACGUAAUGAUUAAUAGGGGAUAGUUGGGGGCAUUAGUAUUCAAUUGUCAGAGGUGAAAUUCUUGGAUUUAUUGAAGACUAACUACUGCGAAAGCAUUUGCCAAGGAUGUUUUCAUUAAUCAAGAACGAAAGUUAGGGGAUCGAAGACGAUCAGAUACCGUCGUAGUCUUAACCAUAAACUAUGCCGACUAGGGAU
rnacentral:rRNA from 1 species